rnacentral:rRNA from 1 species
UACGUAGGGUGCGAGCGUUGUCCGGAAUUAUUGGGCGUAAAGAGCUCGUAGGCGGCCUGUCGCGUCGGUUGUGAAAGCCCGGGGCUUAACCCCGGGCCUGCAGUGGGUACGGGCAGACUAGAGUGCGGUAGGGGAGACUGGAAUUCCUGGUGUAGCGGUGAAAUGCGUAGAUAUCAAGAGGAACACCUGAGGUGAAGACGGGUUGCUGGGCCGACACUGACGCUGAGUGCGCGAAAGCCAGGGGGGCAAACGGG